AGCGGUGGACAUGUGGUUUAUUCGAUGCACGCGAAGAACCUUACCUACUCUUGACAUCCAGAGAAUUUAGCAGAGAUGCUUUAGUGCCUUCGGGAACUCUGAGACAGGUGCUGCAUGGCUGUCGUCAGCUCGUGUUGUGAAAUGUUGGGUUAAGUCCCGCAACGAGCGCAACCCUUAUCCUUUGUUGCCAGCACGUCAUGGUGGGAACUCAAAGGAGACUGCCGGUGAUAAACCGGAGGAAGGUGGGGAUGACGUCAAGUCAUCAUGGCCCUUACGAGUAGGGCUACACACGUGCUACAAUGGCGUAUACAAAGAGAAGCGACCUCGCGAGAGCAAGCGGAACUCAUAAAGUACGUCGUAAUCCCGAUUGGAGUCUGCAACUCGACUCCAUGAAAGUAGUCGGAAUCGCUAGUAAUCGUAGAUCAGAAUGCUACGGUGAAUACGUUCCCGGGCCUUGUACACACCGCCCGUCACACCA
rnacentral:rRNA from 1 species